GAUGAACGCUGGCGGCGUGCCUAAUACAUGCAAGUCGAGCGAACUGAUUAGAAGCUUGCUUCUAUGACGUUAGCGGCGGACGGGUGAGUAACACGUGGGCAACCUGCCUGUAAGACUGGGAUAACUUCGGGAAACCGAAGCUAAUACCGGAUAGGAUCCUCUCCUUCAUGGGAGAUGAUUGAAAGAUGGUUUCGGCUAUCACUUACAGAUGGGCCCGCGGUGCAUUAGCUAGUUGGUGAGGUAACGGCUCACCAAGGCAACGAUGCAUAGCCGACGUGAGAGGGGGAUCGGCCACACUGGGACUGAGACACGGCCCAGACUCCUACGGGAGGCAGCAGUAGGGAAUCUUCCGCAAUGGACGAAAGUCUGACGGAGCAACGCCGCGUGAGUGAUGAAGGCUUUCGGGUCGUAAAACUCUGUUGUUAGGGAAGAACAAGUACAAGAGUAACUGCUUGUACCUUGACGGUACCUAACCAGAAAGCCACGGCUAACUACGUGCCAGCAGCCGCGGUAA
rnacentral:rRNA from 1 species